rnacentral:rRNA from 1 species
GACGAACGCUGGCGGCGUGCUUAACACAUGCAAGUCGAACGGAAAGGCCCUGCUUGCAGGGUACUCGAGUGGCGAACGGGUGAGUAACACGUGGGUGAUCUGCCCUGCACUUCGGGAUAAGCCUGGGAAACUGGGUCUAAUACCGGAUAGGAGCCAUUUUUAGUGUGAUGGUUGGAAAGUUUUUUCGGUGUAGGAUGAGCUCGCGGCCUAUCAGCUUGUUGGUGGGGUAAUGGCCUACCAAGGCGGCGACGGGUAGCCGGCCUGAGAGGGUGGACGGCCACAUUGGGACUGAGAUACGGCCCAGACUCCUACGGGAGGCAGCAGUGGGGAAUAUUGCACAAUGGGCGCAAGCCUGAUGCAGCGACGCCGCGGGGGGGAUGACGGCCUUCGGGUUGCAAACUCCUUUCGCUAGGGACGAAGCUUUUUGUGACGGUACCUAGAUAAGAAGCACCGGCUAACUACGUG